GAGAGAGAUAAUACAGGAUUCCCUCCAGAAUCCAAACUGUACUCUUCUCUGGCUCAAACCCUGAUAUUUGGAGCUUUUCGAUCCAGUCAUCUUCUGUCAGGAAAAUCAACCUCAAAAACUGUGCUUUCUUUCAAGCAGCUUAGACGAUAUGAUCUUGCAUCCAUUCCUGCAUGUAGGAGGACCCUUUGAUAGAUAGGCUAACUGUGAGUUGGGGCCUGGGGUUCAAAUUGGAUCAAAAGUUCUGUAGAAAUAAAUACUCUACAAGUGUGGGGUUUUCUCUGUAUUCGUAUAACAGAUGUAGUAGAAAGGUAAGGGAGAAGUCACUCUAUUUUUUCAUAGCCUCUCUAGAUUAUUGAUGGAAUAAUGAUUUCUAUUGUCCAUAGAGGGUUAAAAGAUGCAUCUUAUUAACAAACAGAGGAUUCUUUGCUUUUAUGUUUUUCACACUUUGAGACUGAAUGGUAGAAAUUUUAGAAGUGCAGUACCAUAUUUAGAAGGAGCUUAAACUUAAGAAAACAUACAAUAUUUAGCCAGUAUUUGUAGGUGUUAAAAUAAAUGUGUUUCUUCUGAUAGGUAUCUUUAGAUUUUAGUGUCAAAAUAUAAAGAAUUUUAUAAAUUCUUAAGAAAAUGUGUAGAAGUAAUUUUCAUAUGCCAUCAUUUUCAUCAUAAACUUCUAUAGUCCGAAUAUAUGCUUGUUGACGAAAAAUAAGUGGUUGGGUCUUGUUGUCUUUGGUAGAUGAAUUUUAUGGAAUUCUCAUCACCCACUAUAUUUUCUGUUUGAUUGGGAUAAAAUAUUGAAGUGAUUGUGAAAGGAUAUAAACUCCUCACAUUCUGUUUCUCUGGAUUAGGGAGUAAAUCUUGCUUAGAUUAUUUUGGAUGUAUUCUCCAUGUUGUAAACAUUUAGUUGUUAUGCGUUAAAUAGUUCUACCCACUGGGGUGACUACAAUCUGACUGCACCUAUGCUCCUUUAGUAACAGAGUAACAGGCCAAAGAAUUCAUGAACUAAACUGUAUUUUUGUGAUUACACAUUGACAAAACCCUUAACUGAGUAAUUUUGUGUUCUAUUACCCCAACCCCUCAAAUGGUUGUGCUUCAUUAUUUAAAUUUUUAUCUAAAUAAAAGACAGAAGUUCGGAAUGCUACUCUCCUAGGAUUGUUAUAUUAAAGUAUAGACUGAUUGAUUUGUUUCUAUAUCAUAAUAUGCUCUACAGUCUAGAAUAAUCAGUUAUUGAAAUGCUUGAUAAUCUCGAAUGAUCUUUACCCAAUAUGAGCUAUUAUUUUCUUUUCAAGUUGGUAUGUUUUCUCACUGAACUAAUCAAGGACACUAAAUGCAUGAACCAUUAGGAAACUAUAAAUGACCAGCAACUCAUAUUAAAGCAGUGGGAAUGACCUGUGGUGCUCCACCUUCAGAGACGGGGGAAUACCUGAGUAAUCAUGUCUUGUUUUAAGUUUUCAUUCCUGUAAUGUUGUCUAUUUCCCUUAAAUUUAAUGUUGCAGGCAAAACUUGGAGAACUACUUCUCCUAUUGUGCAACAGAAAAGAAAACUCACUCUUUGAGAUGAAUGCUGUGAGCAUUGGCACUUACCUGCAC